GGACACCUCGGGGGUUUCCUGCUUUAUGGCGAAGGUGAAAGAACAUCAGUGUAUCAGCACAGCAAAUAUUCCAAAUGCCAGGCUGGAUUCCCUCCAAUUACCAGGACCUCCAGGCUUCUCCUCCUUUCAAGAACUUUCUGACCCUGGAUCCAGUCUAAAUGUUGGUUAUAAACUCACCUGACAUCCACAGGGCCCUUCCAAAAUACUGUCAAGGCUGACUGCUGGUGCCUGGAACCUGCACACCCUCCUGGGACUCUGCAUCUCUGCUGGGGCUGGUUUCUCCUCUGAGCCACCUUAAGGAAUCCCACCCUGACCCGGUCAGAGCUCACCAUGCCUCCCUCUCCUACUUGCUCAGCAUUUUGUGUCUAUCUAGACUGAAGCCUUUGCUUUCUCUCUGUGAUUAUGGUGAAAGUUCAGUUUGCUUUCCUAUCUCUAGAAUGUCAGCACGAAGGCA
rnacentral:lncRNA from 1 species